GAAGCAAGGCAGAGAAAAGUCUAUAUAACAAAUAUGAUUGUGUACCUAUGGAAAGAAUACAAGAAACUGAACAGCUGUUCCCUUUUGUGUUAAGGAACUAGUGGCUUCUGGACAGAGGUGGCAGGAAGAAUUACUUUUCAUUAUGUACCAUGUUGUAUCUUUUGGAUUUAUAUGUCAUAUGCAAGUAUUAACUAUCCAAAAAAUAAUUAUGUAAAAUUUACAGAAUAUGGAUUGGAAUAAGAACUCCUUCUUGACCCCUGUGUUUGGUAUGGAAGUCAAAGUUGAGACUGAAGAGGAGUGAUAAAAAUUGUGACAAAUAAAAAAGGGAAGUAAAUAUGGGAUGAUGAGCCUAUUGAUGCCAAAAAAGGCAAUUCUCCAAUUUAAGGGCACCAAAGAGGAAGAUAUAAGAACCUAAAAGGCAGUGGGUCAGAAAGCACACUUAAGUCUAAGGACUCAGUGGAGUGGUGCUGGGUAGGAGGGUGAAAUUUGGAUGGGAGGCUGUUGCAAAAAAUGAGAGAGUAUGUGACCAUCUGUAUGCAUCUGUUAUUAUCUCCUUGAUCUAAGCUUCCCUCUCUUACUGUGGUCAUGCACCCACAUCUCAGGGGUUCCACAAAUGUAACAGUCCCCGUCCUUGGAAAAAAUUGUACUAUCAGUUAUUUGCAUGCUUGAGCUUGUGAGUGUGGUAUCAGUAGGGUCCCCAAGAUGGCAAUGACACAGAGCAGGAAAGUAAUUGUUUUACAGAAAUCUGUUUCUUUCUAUUUCUGCAUUCUGUUUCUAGGGUCAAUGCAAGUAUAUUUGCAGUUGAAUGGAACAGAGCUUCUAGGAAAUAAAAAACAGAUGUUGGAGGAAGGCAUUCAGGGUGAGUCAGGAGAAGCCCUUAAGGCACUCUGUGCUCACGGCUGGCCCUACACUUUUCCUUGCUUUUAUCUCGAUAGAUGCUGGAAUUCCCAACUCUGCCUAGGCUGCACCAAGGCUGUAGUGGAUUUAAAAAUGUCAAACUACACUGACUCCCAAGCCUGAAUGUCCUGUGGAAAGAAAAGAAUAGUUUGGCUGAUCUCAUAAAGAGUAUCCUUAGGCAAAGGAACAUAUUCUUCCUGAUUCACUUCUCAGAUGUAGAGAAAUAUGGACAUAUAAACUACUUUGGGUUAUUUUUGAGAGGCGGGGGAGAGGCAGAGAGAGAGG